GUGGGGAAUAUUGCACAAUGGAGGAAACUCUGAUGCAGCAACGCCGCGUGAGCGAUGAAGGUCUUCGGAUCGUAAAGCUCUGUCUUUAGGGAUGAUAAUGACAGUACCUAAGGAGGAAGCCACGGCUAACUACGUGCCAGCAGCCGCGGUAAUACGUAGGUGGCAAGCGUUAUCCGGAAUUAUUGGGCGUAAAGGGAGCGUAGGCGGAUAUUUAAGUGGGAUGUGAAAUACCAGGGCUCAACCCGGGUGCUGCAUUCCAAACUGGAUAUCUAGAGUGCAGGAGAGGAGAGUGGAAUUCCUAGUGUAGCGGUGAAAUGCGUAGAGAUUAGGAAGAACACCAGUGGCGAAGGCGACUCUCUGGACUGUAACUGACGCUGAGGCUCGAAAGCGUGGGGAGCGAACAGGAUUAGAAACCCUAGUAGUCC
rnacentral:rRNA from 1 species